UGUCCCCUUCCUCCAGAGAGCUGCAGCCCUUCCUCUUGGCUGAUCUCUUGCCUUAGUUUCUUUUCUCAGAGUUGGGGGAAGCCAGCCAACUAGUAGCACUAAGUAAAGCACUUGGCAGUUUGUGAAUGUGUCUGUUUGCUCAGAGUAACAGGACCUUUAUGCAGUUAACUAACUCUUCAGCUUUGUAAUCUAUGUCAAACCAUCCAUUUCAUGGUACUAAUUUUAAUAGACUCUUCCCCUAUCACCUAAUGUGCAUUUUUUGUGGGAAUUGCCCUGGACUAGGCUGCACAUGAUGGUGGUGGUGUUUGAGUUGCUGCAGCACCGACCUCGGUAAACACUGGUCAGGGCUGCCUCUCAGAGCCUGGCAGUUCUGUGAACUUAAUCCACAGCCCUCUUGUUCUGGAGCUGGCCUGUGGCUUCCUGUACUUGACCGCUAGUAAAAUCAUUGGUCCAGGCAGUGUCGCAAGCCGUCAAAUGGAGUUGCAUGUUGUUGAUGGAAGCUGACAGGUAGCUGUGCUUAGAGGGAACGAGGGAUCUCCCAGAGAGGCAGAAGGGGCAUGACAUAACAGCCAAGCUGAGCUCCAGCAGAGCAAGAGGGAGCAUGCCAGGCUAGUUCCAAGGUGUGGCUCCUCUGCCUCACACUUGGGAUCUGACAACUACAUGGACUGGGACUGCUCUCAGUAGUCGAUGAGGCAGAAAGCCGAGGCCAGAGCCAGUUCUGCAGAGCUGGUUAGAAAUCCCUCCCAAUUCACUUAUCACUGAGUCAGACCUCAGAGACAGACUCUGACUCCAGGUCCAGUUCCUGGCUGACUUCCGUCCAGCUGCUCAGUGAAGUCACCACACUGGAGGAGACUCCACCCAUGCUCCCAGUCUACAAAGGCUCAAGCAGCCUCACUGACGUCCCUGUUCCUUUCCACCUCCCCACCCCACCCCAUCCCUCUAGGUCACAUACCUUCUAGAGCUCCUGAGUCCGCUGUCAUUACUCACCAAAUACCCAUGUCUGUUUAUUUGAGGAGCCGGAGCAGGGGGUGUGGUGAAAGCACUUUGUCACUUACAGUAUCUGAGGAUCCCCUGCUACACUGAUGGGAGGUGGGGAUGGAGCUUAGGGAGGGGAGCAGCACUCUGUACAGAGGGGACAGCUCCAAGUGCUCUGCACUUAAGGGGCCCUUCGUCCUCUGCUGAGGGCUGGAGAGCUUUUGCCGAAGAGAAAAGGAGCAAGAGUCUAAAUGAAAACGCUGUUUGUGUACAACCUGUGUUUAGAACUGGAUUCUCACCUGCUGUAAUUUACGCACAUCCUGACAGUCCAUGGUCAUCUUUAAUAAACUAAGG
rnacentral:lncRNA from 1 species